CCUUCUCUUUCUUCUCUCAAACCCUAAUCCUUUUUUCCUUUCUCCUUCUUCUCAAACCCUUCAACUUGCGUACAUAGAGUUAAGCUUUUAGGGUUUAUCAAGAGUUUCACGAAAUUCACCUCAAUCAAAGGGUUUCAAGGAUUCAUCGUAAUCAAAGGUUUGAAGUAUUUGUUAUGCAUGCUUAGUUCAGAAUGUUGAUUACAGGACAAACUCUUGGACCUGACAAGUGUAACACGUCUCUUUCCCAUCACUAAGUACCUUGGUUUUCUUGCCACUAGUAUCACAUGAAUUAUGGAUAAACCAUCUAGCUCUUCACCAAAAAAAAGAAGACUAGAGGUGUCACAGCAUUGCUACGUUUCAUUGCCAAACUUCCUGAUGGUGAAAAAUACCAAAUUGAUUUUGAUCCUGAUACCUUCCAACCCAUUGGUCAGUAUGCUGCAAAGUUUAAAAGUUAUUUGUCAUUCAUUGCACGUAGCAAGGUUAGUAUAAAUGAAAAGCAAUGGAAAAAGAUAAGCGAUAAGUUGAAGGACGUGAUAUGGGACGAUAUCACGUGUAAGUUCACUUGCCCCACUGAUAAAGAAUUUAGGAAGCAUUGGUUUGUUUAUAUGGGGGAACGAUUGAAGCAAUUUAAGACAUUGCUCUCAAAUGUCUAUAUAUUUGGGAAAGGAGAUAAGCAUGGAAAUACAACUCCAUUUGAAAAGUAUAAAUUUAUCAAAGAAGAAGAUUGGGAUUUGUUUGUCCAGACUCGACAAAAAGAAGAUUUUCAAGAGAAAAGGCUAAAAGGAAAGACACAUGCAUCAAAGAAUAUCCACCCUCAUAUUUUGUCUCGUGGUGGUUAUGAAAAACUUAGGGCCACCGUAAUGGAAGAGAGGAGGAAAAAAGUGAUUGAAGAGGCCAAAGGUGAUGAAAGUUUGAAAGGUGAUGAAAGUGAUUGAAAGGUGAUGAAAGUGAUUGAAGAGGCUCAAAUCCAACAAGGAAUGAAACUCCUACAACAGAUGCAAUUGGAGCUCCGCUCCGAGAGGCCUAAAGAGAUGUUUAUAAAAGAGCAUGUAGAAUCUGUGGGUACGAGCACUAACGGAAGUUGCUCAAAGGUUAUGACUACUGAAGAUUUAACUAAAAAAAUGGAUGCUUCUGAAGAUUACCUCAAAAAGAUUAACAAUCUCAAGGAAAAAAGUUUGUGAUGUUGUUGUUUUUGGUGGCUUUAAUGUAACUAGGAGUUUAUAUGCAGGGGCAUCAACAAGAUAACGGAUGGGCAUGUGGAUAUUAUGUCAUGAAAAAUAUGUUUGACAUUAUUGAUGCUUGUAUUGUUGAAAGAUUCAAUGAGAUAUUCACAGACACCUCAUCAUAUGAAAAAGAGUCAAUUGAUCACAUCCGACAACUUUGGGCUCAAUUCUUUUUGCAAAAGGUUGAAGAGCAAGAGAACCAGGAAAAGAAAGAUUUAAUGACAAAACAGAAGCGAU